rnacentral:rRNA from 1 species
AACGAACGCUGGCGGCAUGCCUAACACAUGCAAGUCGAACGAGACCUUCGGGUCUAGUGGCGCACGCGUGCGUAACGCGUUGGAACCUGCCCUUAGGUUCGGAAUAACUCCCCGAAUGGGGUGCUAAUACCGGAUCAUGUCUUCGGACCAAAGUUUUAUCGCCAUUGGAUGGGCUCGCGUUGGAUUAGCUAGUUGGUAGGGUAAAAGCCUCCCAAGGCGAGGAUCCAUAGCUGGUUUGAGAGGAUGAUCAGCCACACUGGGACUGAGACACGGCCCGGAAUCCUACGAGAGGGAGCAGUGGGGAAUAUUGGAAAGUCGGCGAUAGCCUGAUCGAGCAAUGCCGCGUAAGUGAUGAAGGUCUUGGGGUUGUAAAGCUCUUUUACCCGGGAUGAUAAUGACAUUACCGGGAGAAUAAGCACCGGCUAACUCCGUG